GGUGAGAUGGCCGAGCGGGUACGUUGUAUUCACCCUAUUACUACGAUUCCAUCUAACAAACAUGCAGUUAAGGCGCUAGCUUCAGGUGCUAGUAUCGCAAGAUUCGUGGGUUCGAGUCCCACUCUCAUCA
rfam:Paraphaeosphaeria sporulosa strain AP3s5-JAC2a unplaced genomic scaffold CC84scaffold_9, whole genome shotgun sequence.